AAUAACUUCCUCUUCCACUGAUUGCUCUGAAGCUUCCACCUUAAGUUUCUCAGCCUUCUCAGACAGUGUUUUGGAAGAAGUAUGUUGUUUACCACAUUUCCUACGUGGUGGCCUUUUGACAGGAGGAUCAUCUUCUACGAGAUUAGCUUCCAACUUCAGUGGCCCAGCCUUGUCGUCAAUUGCAUCACCCGAAGCAACUUUUAUAGGUGACUCUCCCAGUUUCGAGUCUCCAGUAUUAGAUGACUCAGGAAGAGGUGUCGAAAUUGGAACUUCUGAUUUUAUAGAUUCAGUAUUGUCCAUUGGAGCAUGAACUGCAUUGUCCUUUGCGGGACUGAUAUCCAGAUCUGAUCCAGUUACCUGGUCAAGGUUACUAGUGGUCUCCUCAAUUGUCACUGUGAUGGAGGAAUUAGUUUCUCUGGUUGUUGUCUCAGGUGAGUCUGUUUCUGCUUCAUGGCUGGGCAGACUUUGCU